UGUGAACGUUACCAAACUGUUGCCUCGGCGGGAUCUCUGCCCCGGGUGCGUCGCAGCCCCGGACCAAGGCGCCCGCCGGAGGACCAACCAAAACUCUUUUGUAUACCCCCUCGCGGGUUUUUAUAUCUGAGCCAUCUCGGCGCCUCUCGUAGGCGUUUCGAAAAUGAAUCAAAACUUUCAACAACGGAUCUCUUGGUUCUGGCAUCGAUGAAGAACGCAGCGAAAUGCGAUAAGUAAUGUGAAUUGCAGAAUUCAGUGAAUCAUCGAAUCUUUGAACGCACAUUGCGCCCGCCAGUAUUCUGGCGGGCAUGCCUGUCCGAGCGUCAUUUCAACCCUCGAACCCCUCCGGGGGGUCGGCGUUGGGGAUCGGCCCUUUACGGGGCCGGCCCCGAAAUACAGUGGCGGUCUCGCCGCAGCCUCUCCUGCGCAGUAGUUUGCACACUCGCAUCGGGAGCGCGGCGCGUCCAUUGCCGUAAAACACCCAACUUUCUGAAAUGUUGACCUCGGAUCAGGUAGGAAUACCCGCUGAACUUAAGCAUAUCAAA
rnacentral:misc_RNA from 1 species